rnacentral:rRNA from 1 species
GACGAACGCUGGCGGCGUGCUUAACACAUGCAAGUCGAACGGAAAGGCCCUGCUUUUGUGGGGUGCUCGAGUGGCGAACGGGUGAGUAACACGUGAGUAACCUGCCCUUGACUUUGGGAUAACUUCAGGAAACUGGGGCUAAUACCGGAUAGGAGCUCCUGCUGCAUGGUGGGGGUUGGAAAGGUUCGGCGGUUGGGGAUGGACUCGCGGCUUAUCAGCUUGUUGGUGGGGUAGUGGCUUACCAAGGCUUUGACGGGUAGCCGGCCUGAGAGGGUGACCGGCCACAUUGGGACUGAGAUACGACCCAGACUCCUACGGGAGGCAGCAGUGGGGAAUAUUGCACAAUGGGCGGAAGCCUGAUGCAACAACGCCGCGUGCGGGAUGACGGCCUUCGGGUUGUAAACCGCUUUCGCCUGUGACGAAGCGUGAGUGACGGUAAUGGGUAAAGAAGCACCGGCUAACUACGUG